rnacentral:lncRNA from 1 species
UACAGGGAAAACGUUAGUGCACAGCAACCGCCGCUUCUUAUGGUGCAUCAAAGUAAAUGCGUGGGAAACUGGUAAAAUGUUAUUAAUUUACUCAAAAUACUGAUAAUUGACCUGACCUGUGUGUUCUGGUGUUCAGAUUAAGCUAUAGAAUGUCAAGGGUGACCUGGAGCUGGCCAAGCUGGCUACGGCCGUGGUCCCGAAGGUGGGCGCCGACGGGGAGGGCGACGCGCAGGUCCACCGCCAGUGACAGAAACGUCUAAACUUUGACCCAGUCCAAUCCCCGUGUCAGGUCGGUAUUUGACCUAACUACUCCCACGUGCCAGCUCGGUGUUCGAUCUAACCUCUCUUCUGUGUCAGCCUGAUGUCUUACCCAGACCCCUCCCCGUGUCAGAUCGGUAUUUGACCCAGCCCCCACCCCUUGUCAGCUCGGUGUUCGACCCAGCCGUUCCUCCUGUGUCAGCUCAGUGUUUGACCCAGUACCCUGUCUCUUGUCAGAUCGGUAUUAAACCUAACUACUCCCCGUGUCAGCCUGUAUUAACCCAGCUCCACCCCUGUGUGAUGCCAGACGGAGGAGAGUGAGGCGCUGGACGAGCCUGUCUCUUGCCGUGCCGAAGACGCUGCGUCGGAAGACCGUCAGUUCCGGUUGGUGAAUCUGGCUGCUCUGACUCCGUCCAGCUGGCCGACGGGCGAGUGCCUACACAGCAGCUCGCUGGCGCCGCCGUUGCGCGCGCGCGUCCAGACGGCAGUCGGCCCGCGGGCCAGCCUCGCAGCAUCUGUAGUGGCCGUGCUGCGCGGAGGAAUGCAUCCGGGAGCUGCCGGAUGAGGCCGUCUGGAUCUGUUCGGACGGGCCGGCGGAGGAUGGUUUGGCGGCGGUGGCUCCCUGCUCCGCUUACCAGAUGGAGACGACUGGGUUAUACGGGUUCCGGUGGGCCGCUUCUGCUCCAGUGCGCGCGCGGAGCUCACCGCGCCCCCGCCCCGGUCCAAGCCGCUACCAGAUGGAGACGACUGGGACAUAUGGGUCCCGGCGGGCCGCUUCUGCUCCAGUGCGCGCGCGGAGCUCACGGCGCCCCCCGCCCCGGUCCGAGCUGCUACCAGGGAGAAGGCUGUUACACUUAUCAGCGCUGGUCGGGCCACUGGGGAUGAUCGGGGCAGCAUCUCCACCGGAUUGAAAGAAGGCCAACGUCCGAGUGCGCCCAGUGCAGUCAGCAGUGACAUCGAAUGUCCAACAGGCCGCUGCCUGGUCUGCGGCGAAGCAGCAGACAAUUAGGCGCACGUGUUGCUGGAGUAUCCGUGCUUUUACGGCCUCCGGCUCCGUGCGCGGGGAAACAUCGUCGGCGCGGCCCACGAUGUCGAACGCGACGACAUGGUGGCGAUCUUGGUCGCCGGCUACGAGGCCCACAAGAGCCUUGUUUUGGCUACGGCGGCAGCUAGUUUGGGGACACCACAACAGCUGACGGCGGCCGCGGCCCCAGAGAUGCGCACCUGCGGGCAGGGCGGCCGCUGAUCUACAUCUCAGCUGAUUAUACUGAACAGACGGAGGAGACUGAGGCGCUGGACAACGAGUCUGUCUCUGGCCGUACUGAAGACGCUGCGUCGGAAGACCGUCAGUUCUGGUUGGGAAUCUGGCUGCUCUGACUCCGUCCAGCUGGCCGACGAGUGCGUGCCAAGACAGCCGCCGCCGCCGCCGCGCGCGCGCCAAGACGGCCGUCUACCGGCGCCGAUGCCGCCACGCGCACGCUAGACGCCCGUCCACUGGUGCCACCGCCCCACGCGCGCGCACGGUCGGCAGCCGCCGCGUGUGCGUGCCCGCCCAGAAUAUGCGUUCUGCCGCCGUUGACUGCGGCUCGAGAUUCAUGUUCAAGGUUUAGGCAUACACUCAUGUUAAUUGUCUACGUUCAUGAAGGUGCGUGGUGACAAAGAUGCCUCGUCUGUGGCAGCGGAUUUGCUUGUUCCGCCUCAACAUGUGCAAAGUUGUUAUGUAAACUGAUGCGCUCGGCAUUCGCCGUCCGCUCGCGCUGGUGGCGCGCGAACGAAUGACCUGGCCCUGUUCAUGCGGACCUGACGAGCGGCGGUAUGACGCAAUCACAUAGGCGGAUUACUUUUCACCACGAAGAAAAUCAUUAUCAGCUGGCUUAAAAUUAUACAAUUGUUUGCCCUCAGUUCGCCAGGUAAUAUCAUUCUUUGAUCAUUCAUGCUGACUUGCGUGGCUGAUAUUUGAUAAUAUAUAGUGUGAAGCGUUC